rnacentral:lncRNA from 1 species
AUAGAAAUACAGAAUGCAUAGAAAAUACAAGGGUAAGAAGAGGAAUCAUGUGGAAGAAGAGUAAACAUCUGAUGGUGUCCUGGGUAGCUGAAACUGUGGAAAGCAAAACCGUGGAUAAGGGGGAACUACUAUACUGAAAAUGUACAAAACAGAGAAGAUUUCAUUGAAGAAGUCUGCUGUUUCUGGAAUGGGAAAUUAAGCACAACUGGAACAGUUAUCGACUGUGAUUCUUGCUGGGACCAAUAACCUUCUACAAAUACCAACAUCAGUUUUUAUGAAAGGCAAAGAGCUGACAGGUUUACAGACUGCACCCUAACAUUAAGCUACCAGGAGAAACUUCCAAGUUACCCUCUUGUUACUUGUGCCCCAGAGGUGAACACUAUAAACUGCUACAGCAUGCAAUUUAGGGCCACAUUUGGAGCCUCAUCUCUUUGUCAUGACCAACAAAUUUAAAUCCUCAUCAACUGGAAAGAGGAAACUUCAUCUGGAUAAAUACUAUAUUCAUAACUAGGAGAGGUUCGUGAAGAAGUGAUUGGGAAAGAGAGCAAGUCUUGGUUGGACAGUGUGUCUGUUUUCAUGCUGCUGAUAAAGACAUACCUGAGACUGGGCAAUUUACAAAAGAAA